rnacentral:lncRNA from 1 species
AUGCCGGAUGAUAUAACAUCAGCAGAAGAAUACAUUGAAAGGAACAAUUUGAUGACAAAACCAUUAGUCAAAGUUUCUUCUGCCCAAGAUGUUCUGCCAUCUUCAGAAAAAUCAUGUUUAGUCAAAUUGCCGUCACUAAUUGAAGGUGAUGAGGAUCAGGCAGUGAAAAAUUCAAUCAUACCAGAGGAUGAAUUAUCUAAGGAGAGUUUUCCUUUGAUUAGACCACAAGCAACUGAUGGGAUGAAGGCUGAACAGCCAGUUGAAGGUAUUCCUGCAUCGUGUGCUUCAGAAGUUGUGGAGUCAGGUUCUCAGAUCACAUUGCGUUCGACAGAUAGUCCAAAGGCAGAGGAACCAAUCAGCAUCUUAUCCGAUCCACUUGCUUCAGCUUCUUUGGAUGGGAGCACACCAUCAAAACGACAAUUCACUGAUGAAGUGGACACGGAGCAGUGGAUCCAAAUUUCUUCCCCAAAUACUUUAGCUGAGGUUGAGGUAAGCUCUAUAUCCAAACUAGCUGAAACCAGUGAAUUAAAAAGAGAUUUAUCGGCCGAAAGUAGUGAUGUAGUGGCCGUAAAAUCUGUUGAAACUUCAUCGGUAUCAGUCAUCUUAAAGGCCGAGGAAAAAAAUUCUCAAGACAACCGUAUGCCACCAGAUGUUUUAACAGAAAAGUGGCCCAUGCAUAAUUCUGAUAGAGCCGCGUCAGUGUUCUCUGAGGACCAUGUCCCGACUGAAACACCGGUAGUUGAUGAAGCCAAAGCAAAGCAAGCAGUCAAAGUUUCCUGCCCUUCAGAUUCUCUCAACUACAAUAAACCAGCGGAAACCGCAUCAGACACUUCAGCCCCUGCAGAUGUUGAUGAUCAGUCAGAAACACUCCCAACGGAUGGCGUCGAGACGAAACAACCCGUAGAAUUUUCAUUAAUUUUAGACCCCUCAGUACUUGUCGCGGAAAGCAGUCAUGCCGACCCAUUAACAAUUAACAAAGAAGAGUCGAAAGAACCAGUUAAACCAGCGGGUACGUCUGACGCUAAAAAAUCUUUAAAAGAAAGCGCUGAGAUAAGAUCAGCCUCAGAAGAUCUUAUAAAUUCUACACAACCAGCAAAUUUCUCCUCCAUCCCGGACGAUACAACAUCAUCAGAAGAAAACAGCGAAAUCGAAUCACUACCAACUACUGAUUUGAAAACACAACCAUCGGUUAAAAUUUCUUCUGCGCAUCAUGUCCCGAUAUCAUCAGAAAAAUCACGUCCAAUCAAAUUACAAACAUUAACUGAAGGCGAUGUGAAUCAGCCUGCGAAUGAAUCAACCGUGCUAGAAGAUGGAACAUCUGUGGAGGACAUUGCUUCGAUUAGACCACAGGCUACAGAGGGGAUGAAAAUUGUUUCAGAAUUUGUAGAUACAGGUUCUAGGUCAACUGACAGUUUAGACGCAGACAAAUCAAUCAGCAUCUCAUCAUCUCCACUUGCUUCGACAUCUUUGGAUAGAAACUCACCAUCGAAACCACAACCUACUAAUGAAGUGGAGGUAGGUCAGUGCAUCAAAAUAUCUUCCGUCGAUACUUCAGUGGAAGUUGAAGUAAGUUCGGUACCCAAACCAGCUGAAAUCUGUGAACUAACAACAGAUCAAUUGGCUGAAAGUAGCGAUGUAAUGACAGAAAAAUCUUUUGAUACUUCAUCCACAUCAGAAAUCUCAAUGAUCGAGGAGGAAAACUCUCAAAUAGCCGUAAUAUUUCAGACUCCAUCUCAUUCAGCUGAUAACACCGAGGCUCGUCAACUUACCGAAACUUUCUCCUCUCCAAUCUCCCCAACAUCUGCGCAAGAAGGCACUUCGGUGCAUCAACCCUCAACUGUUGAUACAAAAGCAGAUAGAUCGCUAAAAGUUUCCAAUGCCUUAGAUACGAUGGUGUCAAUUGAAAAGAGCUGUCAAGUCAAACAACCUACAAGUGAUGAAAGGAACUUGCAUCAACCCAUUCAAACAUGUGAGACCUUUAGUUCAGGUACCUCAUGCUCAACAUUAUUGUCAGUAUUGGUCGCAGAAAAAUCGAAAAAAGUUGGGAAGAAGCUUACACCGCUCUCUCUCGAUACAGAAAAUGCUACACCCACAAAACGUUUUAAGUCUGAUGUAGUUGCAAAUCCAUCCUCUGACUCUUCCCCGGUCCUACAAUCGUCAGAUGUAUCCUGUAGUAAUGUUGAAAGCCAAGUUCAAAGAAGUGCCUCUAAACAUGAGCUCGAUUGCAAAGGAGAUAUCGAUGAAAUUCCAAGCAAAAAGCGGAAGACUGAAUUCUUGAACAUCGUUUCAUCGGGUUCGAUCUCAGGUGAUAGCCUUGGCACUGACCAAGUUGAAUCUGUUGUUUCAUUUGCCGAACGAAAUAAAUCAAAAACUUCUCCAUAUUCUGGAAUUUUAGAUUUAAACAUUAUCACUGAAGCAGAGGCUACAGCUGGAAGCCCUCCUUUGUCAAUAAUAGACAACUCAGAAAAUAUAACUAAAAGUGAGGUAAUUGCCAUUGAUAAUACUGAAAGUGCCAAAGUAGAAGUUUGCAGUCUUACCCACUCAACUUCCCCAGAUAAUAUUCAGAAUGUAGUAUCGUCUAAUGAUAAAAUACUCUCUACACUUGAAUCUUUCACGAAGCAGCCUCGAAGUUUAAGCAAGUCCCCACCAUCCAAUCCAGAUCCCCCAAAAGAAGACUCUUUUGUUAAAAGUGCUCAAAAAAGGAGAGAAACUCCUUUUUUAUACACCAUAAGUCCUGAGGGUAAGGACUCUAAAACUCAUCCACUCAGUGAAAGGAGAAAGCUAAUUGAUGUUGCAUGUGCCAUAACUUUGGACCUGUCGGUGGUAGUUGAAUCAAAAAGCAAACGCAGAAAAAUAGGUCAUUGUGGAAGACAACUGAACCUCAAUGCUAAAGAUCCUAUCUCUGAAAGAGCAAAAUGCAAAGAAGAUAAGUCUGGCUCUGUAAUGUCUGUUACGGAAGUGUUCAGCAAAGGAAGUGUCUUUAUAUCUAAUGCUGGUGAAAGUGAAACAAAAGAUCAAAUUUUCUCCCAUUCUCUCAUGUUUCAUGAAUCUGCAAUGAGCAAAGAUGAUACGCCGUCACCACAGAACGAAAUCAAAUCAUCAGCCGAAAUUUCAGUCACGGGCGUUUCCUCUCAGAUCAGUCCCAAACCUAUUGUAUUUCAUCAUGUUGAACCGGCCCUAGAUAAGAUGCAGAAUUCCCUUCUUUUCCCAAAUGAUAAAUUAACAACGCCCACCAGUGCUAAAGAAGCGUCUUCAAACGAAACUUUCGAUGCCUUUGUUCUGCCCUGUACCGUAGAAGCAACCACCUAUGGAAAAAUAUCACCUCAAAAUACCUGUAAUGUCAAUACAAAUUCGCCCAUCUGUAAUGAAGAAUCAGCCAUUGUGCCAUCCAAUGAUGAUGCAUCCUUAUUAUCUGAUGAUUUUCUCAGGCUUCAAAAUAAUGAAAAAACUGAUUUUGCCUGCUCUUGUUCUGAACCUGGAAACGCCCUGUCCGUUACUGAAAAUUUACCUAUCCCUGACAAGAAUAAGAAAACUACUUCCUCCACUGGUCGCAGCGUUGAUGUUCCCUGUGAGAAAGAUAAAACUGUCACUGAAUACAAAACCUCUCAGUCCUUGAAGGACUCCGACAUAACUUCUCAAGACACUGUCUAUCCACCUAUUGAUCCUAAUAAAAUCAACCAAGAAUCCUCGGGUGAUGAUCUCUCCUCUAAAAAUGCAAAAGAUAACAAGAUCUCUCAACAAAUAGGGUACGUAACUUGUUGUUAUAACAAUAAUGUUUCUUCUAGAACUGUAUCUUUUGGCAGUCCCUCUAUUUUUGAGGAAGGGCAGCCUUUCAAUUGUGAUCCUCCAUCCAAUCCCGCCUCAACUUCCAAACCUGAGAUGUUAGUUGUUCCUGAUGACAUUUCUGAUUCUCUGCCAAUCUCUUUGACUCCUCUCAAGCCCACUCCUGCAAGAGUGGCAACUCUGUCUCUCGUAGCUCCGUAG